GCCCGGCGAGCGGACCUGACCUGGGGACCCCCCCUCGGCCCGCAGGGGAAGCGGGCCUGGAGCCCAGCCCGGCUGGAGGGGAUGGAGCCCUGAGAGCCGCGGGGCCUAGGGGGACAUGGGCCCCGCUCUGCGCCCCCAGGAGGAGAGGGAGCCGCAGGCGCGGGGGGGCUGUGAGCCGCACCCCCAGAUAAGGGACACCGGCGUCCGGAGGGAGCACCCCGAGAGAGUGACCGGCCCUGGCGCACCCCCUAUAAUCCCAUAAGGGGGUUGUGUAGGCUACCCCAUAGGGGAGGGUGUGUAUAGGCACCCCCCCAAUCCAUAGGAUUACACACCCUGGUGGUUUGGGAGUGGAGCCCUGUCACCCCAGGGAAGGUAAACAGAGGCACAAAUACCCUUGUGGGGCCCAGUUAACAGAAGCGUUUCUUAGGCGCAAAUCAGGAUCGCCCCAUAACCGCCCUUUCCCCGGCAUUUAAAGGUUUGGACCCUCUGAGGAUUUAUCACGUUUGAAGACUUUUCCUUUUGGGAAAUUUUUGCCCCUGGGAGAACUUGUGUGUGUGUGGCUGGAUUAUUAUUUUUUAAGAGUCCCUUUGAUCUGGAUAUUUUGAUUGACUGAGAGAAGGUGGUUUUGAACUGUAUUUGCCUUCUGUGCUUGUCUCUUCUGGAGCAAGGCUGGAUCUCAAACAUUGCUUUAUAUGUGGGAGGCAACAUAUGUGAGGAAAUCCCUGCGAGAAUAAUAAAAUGCAAAUUGGAUAAAAAGACGACUCCUUGCCCAGGGCUCCAAUGAGUGGCACACAGUCCACAAUCACGGACAGGUUUCCUCUCAAAAAACCUACAAGGCAUGGCAGCAUUCUGAGCAGAGAGACACCAGCUGACAAGAAACAGAAGGUUGAACGCUGCAGUAGUGCACACGACUUUGAUCCGACAGAUAGCUCCUCCAAGAAGACAAAGUCUAGCUCGGAGGAGAGUAGAUCCGAGACGUAUGGUCUCGUUCAGCGCUGCGUUAUCAUCCAGCGGGAUGAAAAUGGAUUUGGGCUGACACUUAGUGGAGACAAUCCAGUCUUUGUGCAGUCAGUCAAAGAAGAUGGAGCAGCCAUGCGGGCUGGAGUGCAGACAGGUGAUCGAAUCAUCAAGGUGAAUGGGACUCUUGUAACGAACUCAAAUCAUGGGGAUGUGGUGAAGCUGAUCAAGUCGGGUUCCUAUGUAGCUCUCACUGUGCAAGGGCGCCCACCAGGGUCGUCCCAGAUUCCAUUAGCCGAUUCUCAAGUGGAUCCAGCAGCAUUUGGGCAUAUGUCUCCCAUCAUGACAUCUCCCCAUUCGCCUGGCACAUCUGGAAAUGCAGAGAGGAUUACUAGCCCGGUGCUGAUGGGGGAGGAGAACAAUAUUGUUCACAGCCAGAAAGUGGAGAUUCUGAGAAAGAUGCUGCAGAAAGAGCAGGAGCGGCUGCAGUCCUUGCAAGAAGAUUACAGCCGAACACCUACCCCACGACUGCUUAAGGAGAUACAGGAAACUAAGAAGCACAUCCCUCAGCUGCAAGAGCAGCUGUCCAAAGCCACAGGCUCUACUCAGGAUGGAGUUUUCUCCUCCAGAUCUGUGACAGAGUCACUGCAGAUCAGUGAAGUAGAUGCUGAGAGUGGGGAUGGGCUGAGCAAAGUAGACUACAGCAGUGGUGACGGCUCCCGGCCGAACAGUGACAUUGCUGAUAGUCCCCGGAGUGGUCUGAAGGAACGUAUUUCCCUGGAGGAGAGUCCAGAGAAGAGUGAGAUUCAAGAUACUGAUUCUCAAUCCAAUGUUGGGAGUCCUUCCUCCCGCAUGGCACCUCAGAUCAUCGGAGCAGAGGAUGACGACUUUGACACUGAACAGGAGCAGAUCAAUGGGCAAUGCAGCUGUUUCCAGAACAUCGAGCUGCUGAAAUCUCGCCCAGCUCACCUGGCUGUGUUCCUGCAUCAUGUGGUGUCUCAGUUUGACCCAGCAACGCUGCUCUGCUAUCUUUACACGGACUUGUACAAACAGACCAACUCCAAAGAGACUCGUCGUGUCUUCCUUGAGUUUAACCAGUUCUUCCUGGACCGAGCUGCGAAUCUGAAGGUUCCAGUUCCAGAUGAAAUAUCUAUAGAUCUAGAAAAAAGAAGGCCAGAACUCAUUCCAGAGGAGUUGCACCGCCAUUAUAUCCAAACUAUGCAAGAUAAAGUCUAUCCAGAUGUCCAGAGGCAUCUGGAAGAUUUCAGACAGAAGCGUAGCAUGGGAUUGACGCUGGCGGAAAAUGAACUGACCAAGCUGGAUGCAGAACGUGUCCGUGACCGGAUCACAUUGGAGAGAGAGCGGGCGUGUGCGGAGCAGAUAAUUAUCAAAAUCGAGGAGGUGUUGAUGACUUCUCAGCCUCUGGAAGAAGACAAGAGUUCAACCAUGCAGUAUGUGAUUCUCACCUAUAUGAAAUAUUUGGGUGUGAAAGUCAAGGAGCCCCGGAGCCUGGAGCAGAAGCGUGGACGUAUUGGUUUCCUGCCAAAGAUAAAGCAAAGUAUAAAGAAAGAGAAAGAAGGGGAGGAAAAAGUGAAGAGGAGAGGCUUCCCCAGUAUCCUGGGACCACCACGGAGACCGAGUCGCCAUGACAACAGUGCAAUUGGCAGGGCCAUGGAAAUGCAGAAGCAGCGCCAUCCAAAGCACUUAUCCACAGCCUCUUCAGUUAGUCCAGAGCCACCAGACUCUGUCAAGAUGCGCCAGAGUGGGUCCUCCAGUGAUGGCACAGACACGACAUGCCCUCCUGCCAAUCCUAUGUCUCCUUUAGCUAUGGUGCCCUUUACUUCCCUGGAAGGAAGCAAGGACAGUGAGACAGUUCUCUUUUCAGGCCCCAAGCAGCCUGGAGAUGCUCCGCCUCCUAGUGACUCUCUGGAUGGCGCACCCCGCACACCUAACACCAUCUUUGAUUUCCCAUCCUCUCCGCUGGACCAGCUGCUAGAGGAGGAAGGAGAACUUGAUAGAUUAGCUGACUUGGGAACACCAAAAGCUUUCCGAAAGAUGGACAGUGUGGGCUUUGGGGAUAUUCAGAGUGAGGAUGAGCUGUUCGAUUUUGACACUGAGACUGAUCCUCCCAACUGGCAGCAGCUGGUGAGCCAAGAGGUGCUGCUGGGGCUGAAACUCUACGAAAUCAAACGCCAGGAAGUGAUUAAUGAGCUGUUCUACACUGAGCGAGCUCACGUCCGUACACUGAAGGUUCUGCAUCAGGUCUUCUACCAGCGUGUACUCCGUGAAGGCAUCCUGACCCCCUCUGACCUGCGCAAAAUCUUUUCAAACCUGGAGGAUAUCCUUCUGCUCCACACUGGUUUGAAUGAUCAGAUGAAAGCUGUCCGUAAACGGAAUGAGACCUCUGUUAUUGAUCAGAUUGGGGAAGACUUGCUAACCUGGUUCAGUGGAGCAGGAGAGGAGAAUCUGAAACACGCAACUGCCACCUUUUGUAGUAACCAGCCUUUUGCUCUAGAGGUGAUCAAAUCACGGCAGAAGAAAGACUCUCGCUUCCAAACCUUUGUGCAGGAUGCUGAGAGCAAUCCACUGUGUCGCCGGUUGCAGCUGAAAGAUAUCAUUCCCACUGAGAUGCAGAGGCUGACUAAGUACCCCCUUCUGCUGGAUAAUAUCGCCAAGUACUCAGAACGGCCUGAGGAGAAGGAGAAAGUGAAGAAAGCAGCGGAUCACUGCCGUCAGAUCCUUAACUAUGUGAACCAGGCUGUCAAAGAAUCAGAGAAUAAGCAGCGUCUGGAAGAUUAUCAGCGUCGCCUUGACCUGUCCUACUUGAAGCAGUCGGAGUACCCUAUGCUGGAUGAGAUCAGGAAUUUGGAUUUAACCAAAAGGAAGAUGAUUCACGAAGGACCUCUGACCUGGAAGGUUAAUCGGGACAAGACUAUUGAUCUCUACACGCUACUCUUGGAGGAUAUUCUAGUGCUGUUGCAAAAACAAGAUGAUAAACUGGUGCUGAGGUGUCACAGUAAGAUCCUGGCAUCUACCUCUGACAGCAAACACACAUUCAGUCCUGUUAUCAAGCUGAACACUGUGCUGGUUCGCCAGGUGGCAACAGAUAACAAAGCUUUCUUUGUCAUCUCCAUGUCCGAAAACGGCGCCCAGAUUUAUGAAUUGGUGGCACAGACUGUUUCUGAAAAGACUGUAUGGCAGGACCUGAUAGCUCGGAUGGCAGGAACAGUAAAAGUCAAGGCAUCUAAAAGGCCGAUUCCAUUACCACAAUCAGGACCUGGCGACGAAGAGCGUGAGGAAGAGGAGCAGCAGAAGCUGAAAGAACAGCAUGAUAUCCCUGCCAGCGGUAUGCAGAGUCCAGAUAAAGAUUUAGGACUUGAGUCUCCCUUGAUGCUGAAGGCACAGUCUCCUUCAGCAAUCAUGGCUGAGAAAUCAGAGGUAGAAGAUCUUCUUGGGACUAGAAGACACUUUGAGAAAGAGCAACGGGCAGAAUUGACUCUCAAAGAAGAAUCCUCUGCGCACUAUGGACUGCCAGUCCCUUUCCAGAUCUCAGGAGAGCGGUGGGCAUUAGAUGCACUAAGAAACUUGGGCUUGCUGAAGCAGUUGUUGGUGCAGCAGCUGGGCAUGUCUGAGAAGGGGACCCUUGAAGACUGGCGAUGUUUACCCAGGUAUAGGACCAUUUCCCGGGGUGGCCAGGCAGAGAGUGGUAUCCAGCAUGGACUACAGCAUUCUAAUGGCAAGAUGCAGCAGCCUGGAACAGACCACAUGCCUCCUGGAACAGGAAGUAGUGAAGCUGCAGCUUGUUAUGGCCUCCGGACUUCAACUGAGUUUCCAGCUCCACAGGAUGCUGUGCAGCUGGGGUCUAGAGACACCAGGUCUAGUAACAAUUUAGUAAUGGACCACGUGAACAUGAACCUGGAGAGCCCUACCCCAGAGCUGGAAGAAGUGGGUACUGAUGACAGUGGAGAGCACUACUUUGAUGCUCGUGACACCCACAGCGAUGAGAAUCCAUUGGAAGGUGAAGUAAUGGAGAGGAAGGAGGAUGAGGAGGUGCACUUACGGAUCUCAGGAAAUUAUUUGAUCCUUGAUGGAUAUGGAACUGUGCAGGAGAGCUCUACAGAUGAGGACGUGUCCUCUCUAGUUCUACAGUGCACUGCUGGCCACUCAUCUUUGGACUCAGCACACCGGCAGCCAGUUUCCCCACGAGAUGCCCAGUCAGAUGAAGGGAGCUCCCCGUUUGCUGAGGAAUUUAUGGCCUCCCGCUGGGGACCAAUGGACGAAUUGUGCUCCGAUGCACCGAGCCCCCACUUGUCCGUAGAGUCACGUAUCCAAAUGAUGCAGUACAUUCAGAAGAUAGAGGCGGACCUUGAACACUUAAAGGAAGUUGAAGAAAAUUACACCACUCUCCUUCACCAAAGGCUGGCUGGCUCAGCCCCCACAGAUGAGCAUUCAGCACUAAGGACAAUGAACAAAGCCGGUUAUUGAUCUUUCAAACAAAAGCCUUGAGAGAUGUCAUUAUGGCUUCAGACUUUUGGAAGCUGCUGGUUCCACAAUAUCAUAAAUCUGCUGAUCAGACAAAAGUUAGUCACGUUUUCCGGAAGUGGCUGAAAAUUGGAUGAGAGAAUCAGCGCCUCCUAGCUUCCAUGCAGACUCCGAGACGAGAGCAUUCUGUCUGUGGACCAUCCAAGUGCUAACCAUACUCUAGCAGAGUGGGGAUGGGGUGCUUUCCCUGUGGGGCAUCUGCACUAGUUUGUCAGUGAGAGAAUCUCUUCCAUUCUCUCCUCCAUUCUCUCCUCCACAUCUUGCUACCGGAAAUUUUGUGUUUGAUUCAGAAGAACAACAAAAAACCAAACCAAAUGUACAGAGCUUUGGGUGUAGGAUAUAAAAAUGUAUUUAGACAUUUUAAAAAAUCAAUGUAUUUAUUUGACUUCAUUCCAUGUAUCAAAAGCACAUUUUAAUUUUUAUUUGCUUUUGUUUUAAUUGGGUAGUGACAGUUCUAGCCCUUGGAAUCUAGUGCACUCUGGAUGCCGCUGCUCCAGAAGCAAAGUUCAUAUCCGAGAAGGGAGGGGGGAGGGGUGUAUUUUAUCUUGAUUUCACUGGAUUGGACUCCAUGCUCCCUGCUGGCAACCCAACUGCCACACACAGUUAUUUGCAAAGGCGUUCUUAUGACCUUUGGUGGGAACUGGCUACAUUCAACAGCCUGUGAACUGGCUCCUUUUGGAGCGAUUCCCUGUUGUGUGUAGCUCAUGUGCAAUGAGAAUUCUCCAUGCACUAAAUAGCCAGGCACUUGAAAUUAGGAAACCAUUUUUCCCCUUGGCGGUCCCGUUCAUUGACUUGGGGUCUCUGACAGGGAGAGGAGAAAGCUGGGUUUAAUUUUUUUUUCUUGACUUUGUUGGCCUUGAUAAUUGUCUCCUGUUUAAAGCGAUAAACAAUGUUUGGAGCUCCAGCACUUGUGUAACCGUUCACCAGAUCAUGCAGGAAAAAAUGUAAACCCAGAAAUGUGGGGUAGGUGGAGGUAUCUCACUGAAUCACUACUGAAUGAACAUUGGCUGCCAUUUGAGUUAGCCACAGGUACUGCUGAUUAUAGGGCCAGUAAAUGUUAGUACCUGGAGGUAUGUCUUGCUUAGUUUCAUGGGGGGGGCGUGUUUUUGGGUUUUUUGCACUGAUUGUACCAAAGUGCUCUCAGAUAGGUGCUUUGCAGAGAAGGCAGAACUGCUGGAACCAGACCCAGUUCUCUAGCACUUCCCAUAGGCCAGUUCAAACAAUUUUCUGUUGGACUUCAUUCCAGACUGACCCUGCAAAAUGCAAGCUCGUAACAGAACUAGCCCUGGACACUCCAGACUGGUUAUUGAUAGUGCCUGCUCUGAAAUGGGUGCUAGGAUGGGCACUACCUGCUAGGGGACAGUUGAUUCAGGACGUUCUCAGUCUCUCAAAUUUCCGGAAUCACAAACUGGUAAUUUAAAGUGUGUGAGACGCAUUCUUUCUGCAGGUACCCAAGAUAUAGACUUUUACCACGGAACUGAAUAACGUGCCAAACCAGUAAAUCCUCUUCCCCUCUUAGAAAAAGUGUGCAUUACUGCAUGGACCAUGAUGUGUGAAGAAUAUCUUUGGUCAGUAGAAAGGUUGUUCUCCCUGCUCCAUUUUCCCUGUUGCUAAUGACAGAGGAUCAAAACUGCUUUUCCAUUCGUGUGAUGUAAAAGCCAGUUCUUGUCCUUUUCCUCAAUAAUAAUAAUGAUGAUGAUGAUAAUAAUUUUAAAAGAAUAUCCAGUUUGUUGUAGGUUGAACAGAGAUAACUUUGGAUCCACUUUACAAGUUGGGGCCAUUGGAGAGCAGGGAGGAUUCUCUUGUAGAAGCCAAGUGCAUGGAGCACUUCCCCAGCAGGAUCCCCACGUUCCCAAUGCAAGCCCAAAUGUUCCCUUGUGGACUGGCAGUGGCAUCUCACUGUGUUUCAGUAUUCUCCUGUGUUACACCUGUAUGAACACACGAUCGGCAUCAAUUAAGACCUUCCAGUGUCAGACAAGCAGAGCUCUGCACCCAACCCCAGCCGUAUGGUUCUGUUAGCUUUAAACAUCUAGACUUGCUCUAAUGAACCCAGAAAUUAAACUGUUGGAACAAAUGGUGCCUGACGCUGUGUGGAGUCUCCGUUUUACCCAAUACUGCCACAAAGAUAUCUUGGUCCAUGGCCAAGUUUAGUUUUUGACACCCUUUUCAUUUUAUAGCUAUUGUUUCUUCCCCCUUAGCCUCUUCGCUUUAUCAGCAAGGUGUCUCUCUCUUCCAGGGAUGGAUGGAAGAGCUGAGUUUCCUGCUGCAUGAAUUGGAGCAGUUGGUAUAGCCCUACCACACUAGCCUGUAUAACCCAUUUCCAGAGCUGCCUAAGCCGUGCUUGAGCGUAGAUCCCUCCCUACUUUGGGCUGCAUUUAAUAAACAGAGUUCAGACCCAUUGUCCAAACGCAGGUUCAAAGCCCAGUGGAGCUGAUGGGAUCUAGGAGAGAGUCAUGGCCAAAUUUUUUGCCAUUGUGACUCCUGAGGUCUCUCCAGGCUCCUUACUAGGUGCAGGAAGCCUAAUGUUCGUGGUGAGAAGCAUGCUGCAUAAGCAGCGGAGAGAUGAGUAUGUAAUGAUGGCCUAGUGGGGAAUGGUCUGCAGUUCCAUGUCCUGGCUUGUCUGACUCCUCUGCCUUAUGUGCACUAGCAUUUGGGCGCAAAUCUCCCACCACUCUUACUGUCAGUGCAGCUCCACCAGAGGUGGUGGUGGCAGAAGGGCCAGUGAAGGUAGAGAGUGACCUUAGUGUGUCAUCUAGACUUGCAUUCAGGUUACCAGUACUGGGGCUGCAGGGGUGGGAGAGUGGCCCUAAAAUACUAACUUAGCCAUAGCCUUUAGUCCAGAGAGAAGUGGGAUGGGAUGUUGUCUCUGCAACCUCUCCAGAUGUAUAAGGGGAAAUGUUGACUGUCCCAUUCUCAGCUGUGGUAGUGGGGGUGACACAUGAAUCUGUGAAAUGAUUUGGCUGGUAGGAGUGGCAUAGGAGAGAUAAUGGGUAUCUUCUUGAGCUAGCAAAGCAAGGUACACUACGGAGACCCACCUUUAUGGGAGGUGAAAUGAUGUGCUUCGUUGUGUUUGGUCCUACUUGUUUUUCCUUAUUGAUCAAUCGCACGUUAAGGGCAUUAUUCCUUGGUGAGGGAUAAGGGAUCCUUCAUUUCCCCAGCACCGUGACCUGAAAUCACUGGGAUUCCAUUUCACUCCCUAGCACAUCUACUGUAUUGCAGACCCCAGGCAUGGUUCAUUUUGAAGUGGGGUGGGGGCCUGACGUUCAAAUGCACUUUUCAGUGUUCUCAUUUUUAUUUGCUUCAGUAGCCAUGGGUUAUCCCUUCUGUAAAUUCCAGUUUCCAGUCCAGCGCGAGAUGACCUGGCCUGUGAUUGUAUGUUCCCUUGUUCAGACUGGACAUGUGUUUUCUGAUACGAUUCUGUUUUUUUCUAAAUAAAAAGAUGACCCGGGGUUUCUCAUCUUGAGAGUGAGGAAAGAUUGCUACAAUGCACUCUGCAGUCCCUUCUGAGAAGUGUGUUCAUCUGGUGUUAUGGGAUUUAGUUCAUAGGGCUAGAAAGAAUUGGGUUGUGUGGGUUUGUAACAGACAGAGUGUCUUGUCCCACAAGAAGGGGAGUGAUGCAGAUGGCAAUACUAUUUAGGCCGCAUUUGCUCAGGUUUCUCUAUCUUGCUUCCUCUGUAGGGAGAGGAGACUAAACCAUCUGAGGGGCAGGAUCAGAAAGGAGGAUCAGGUGUGAAAAUCCAAGGGCUUAGAUGCCCUGGUCAGCUUUUACACCACAUCCCUCUGCCUAGAUCCAGUCUUUCCAAUAGAAACACAACAUCUAUAAAACGUAGAUACACUCUGACUCUUACAGAAGCUGUGCCCCUUUGGCUGGAAAAAGUGUCUGUUAACUGUGUAGGUGAUCCUUGAUUAGAGUCUCUGAUGGUAAUUAGUAUUGCCUUUGCCCCCUGGGCUCCCCCAAAAAAUCCCUUUUCUUUUCCAGGUGCCAACUGACAAGCAGAUGUACUGCAAAAGGGAUACUACACCCAACAAACUGUUUCAAUUUUGAAUUGUCUUUUGGAACUCUCUUCCUACUAGAAUAUUCUUAUUUUCUUUGUACACCAUACAGUCAUGUACUCUUAACAGAGAUUUACUUUAAAGAGAAGAAGGAAAAAAAUCUGGAAAUAUUCUUUAAAAAAAUACAAAAAUAUCUUUAUUAAUAAUCUUGUAUUUUUACUGAUUAUGUUUGAAUGUCUAAGAAAAAACUCUAUUGUUCUAAUUAUCCAGAUGUAUGUUUGUAAAAUAGCUCUUUUAUGACUUAGUGGAUAAGGUUGUAUGUUUCUGGAAUUAAAUAUUGGUCAUUUUAAAAGUAUUUCUGUUUUCAGGAGCUGGGAAAUAGAAAAUUUAAGCGUUCAAAUCUCAUUAAACAAGCUUAAAGGAACCAA